GACGAACGCUGGCGGCGUGCCUAACACAUGCAAGUCGAACGGAACUGUUUUGAAAGAUUUCUUCGGAAUGAAUUUGAUUUAGUUUAGUGGCGGACGGGUGAGUAACGCGUGAGUAACCUGCCUUCAAGAGGGGAAUAACAUUCUGAAAAGAAUGCUAAUACCGCAUGACAUAUCGGAACCACAUGGUUUUGAUAUCAAAGAUUUUAUCGCUUGAAGAUGGACUCGCGUCCGAUUAGUUAGUUGGUGAGGUAACGGCUCACCAAGACCGCGAUCGGUAGCCGGACUGAGAGGUUGAACGGCCACAUUGGGACUGAGACACGGCCCAGACUCCUACGGGAGGCAGCAGGGGGGGAUAUUGCGCAAUGGGGGCAAACCUGACGCAGCAACGCCGCGUGAAGGAUGAAGGUUUUCGGAUUGUAAACUUCUUUUAUUAAGGACGAAAAAUGACGGUACUUAAUGAAUAAGCUCCGGCUAACUACGUG
rnacentral:rRNA from 1 species